rnacentral:rRNA from 1 species
UCCCAGCUGUAAACGAUGCCCGCUUGGCGUGGCAAAACUUUCGUGGUUUUGCCGUGCCGUAGCGAAAGUGUUAAGCGGGCCGCCUGGGGAGUACGGCCGCAAGGCUGAAACUUAAGGGAAUUGGCGGGGGAGCACUACAAGGGGUGGAGGCUGCGGUUUAAUUGGAUUCAACGCCAGGAACCUCACCAGGGAAGACAGCAGAAUGAUGGUCAGCCCGAAGGGCUUA